UUGCUCAUUUUAGCAGCACAUACACUAAAAUUGGGAUGAUACGGAAAAGAUUAGUAUGGCCCAUGCACAAGGAUGACAUGCAAAUUUGUGAGGCAUUCCAUAUUUUU